UGGGGGAUUUUGCACAAUGGGCGCAAGCCUGAUGCAGCGACGCCGCGUGAGGGAUGAAGGCCUUCGGGUUGUAAACCUCUUUCGUUGGGUUGAAAGGCCAUGCUUUGGGUGUGGUUGAUUCGAACUGGUAAAGAAGUACCGGCUAACUACGUGCCAGCAGCCGCGGUAAUACGUAGGGGGCUAGCGUUGUCCGGAAUCACUGGGCGUAAAGGGUUCGCAGGCGGAAAUGCAAGUCAGGUGUAAAAGGCAGUAGCUUAACUACUGUAAGCAUUUGAAACUGCAUAUCUUGAGAAGAGUAGAGGUAAGUGGAAUUUUUAGUGUAGCGGUGAAAUGCGUAGAUAUUAAAAAGAAUACCGGUGGCGAAGGCGACUUGCUGGGCUCAUUCUGACGCUGAGGAACGAAAGCGUGGGUAGCAAACAGG
rnacentral:rRNA from 1 species